rnacentral:misc_RNA from 1 species
GUAGGUGAACCUGCGGAAGGAUCAUUAACAAUUCAACUUAUAAAUUUACCUUUGUGAACUGAUCUCUGGCUGGGUUGAAGCUCGCGCUUCCUAAAUGUCCCGCGGAGAUUUCAAGUGGAAGUAGUGGCUCACUCGCUCGCUCAUCUUUGGGUGAGAGAAAUUGUUGUUACUACCUACACUUACAUAGACUAUUAUGUAUGACUAAAUAGUAUUUAUUUAAACAAAUACAACUUUUAACAGUGGAUCUCUU